UGAAAUCUCACCAGGCCCGGACACUGGAAGGAUUGACAGAUUGAUAGCUCUUUCUUGAUUCGGUGCGUGGUGGUGCAUGGCCGUUCUUAGUUGGUUGAGUGAUUUGUCUUGUUAAUUCCGAUAACGAACGAGACUCUGUCCUGCUAAAUAGUGUCUGCUUCUCUUUCGAGCAGACAAUUCUUCUUAGAGGGACUAUAUAUGUUAAGUAUAUGGAAGUUUGAGGCAAUAA
rnacentral:rRNA from 1 species